rnacentral:rRNA from 1 species
AUUGAACGCUGGCGGCAUGCCUUACACAUGCAAGUCGAACGGCAGCACGGGAGCAAUCCUGGUGGCGAGUGGCGAACGGGUGAGUAAUAUAUCGGAACGUGCUCAGUCGUGGGGGAUAAGGCAGCGAAAGCUGUGCUAAUACAGCAUACGACUUACGGCUGAAAGCGGGGGAUCGCACGCCCUCGGGCGAUUGGCGCGGCUGAUAUCAGAUUAGCUAGUUGGUAAGGUAAAGGCUCACCAAGGCGACGAUCUGUAGCCGGUCUGAGAGGACGACCAGCCACACUGGAACUGAGACACGGUCCAGACUCCUACGGGAGGCAGCAGUGGGGAAUUUUGGACAAUGGGCGAAAGCCUGAUCCAGCAAUGCCGCGUGCAGGAUGAAGGCCUUCGGGUUGUAAACUGCUUUUGUACGGAACGAAACGGUGAGCUCUAAUACAGUUUGCUAAUGACGGUACCGUAAGAAUAAGCACCGGCUAACUACGUGCCAGCCGCCGCCGUAA